rnacentral:rRNA from 1 species
UACGUAGGGUGCGAGCGUUGUCCGGAAUUAUUGGGCGUAAAGAGCUCGUAGGCGGUCCGUCGCGUCGAAUGUGAAAACCCGCAGCUCAACUGUGGGCUUGCAGCUGAUACGGGCAGGCUUGAGUUCGGCAGGGGAGACUGGAAUUCCUGGUGUAGCGGUGAAAUGCGCAGAUAUCAGGAGGAACACCGGUGGGCGAAGGCGGGGUCUCUGGGCCGAUACUGACGCUGGAGGAGCGAAAGCGUGGGGAGCGAACAGG